UUACCUGUUUAAUAAAAACAUGUCUUCUUGAUUAUAAUAUGAAGUCUAACCUGCUCUAUGAAAUUUAAAUGGCCGCAGUAUUUUGACUGUGCUAAGGUAGCAUAAUAAUUAGUUUCUUAAUUAGAAGCUUGUAUGAAUGGUUUGAUAAAAAAACUUCUUUCUUAAAUUUAAUUUAAUUGAAUUUUAUUUUUAAGUAAAAAAGCUUAAAUUUUUUUAGGGGACGAGAAGACCCUUUAGAAUUUUAUAAAAUUUUUAAUGUUUUUUUUUUGGAAUUUAUAACUUCAUUAAAAAUUUUAUUUAGUUGGGGUGACUGAAAAAUUUGAAUAACUUUUUUUAUUUAAAUACAUUAUAUUUGAAUUAUUGAUCCUUAAAAUUGAUUAUAAGAUAAAAUUACCUAAGGGAUAACAGCGUUAUAAUUUUUAAAAGUUCUUAUCGAAAAAAUUGAUUGCGACCUCGAUGUUGGAUUAGAAAUUCUUUUAGGUGUAGCAGCUUAAAAAGAAGGUCUGUUCGACCUUUAAAUUUCUACGUGAUCUGAGUUCAGACCGGA
rnacentral:rRNA from 1 species